rnacentral:rRNA from 1 species
GCGAGCGAACAGGGAUGAGCCCAGCACCGAACCUCGCGCUCGGUUGAGCGGGUGCCGAGGAAUGUGGUGUUCGGGAGGAUCGUGCGCGCCUGUCCGGUAUCUAUCGUCCAAGUCUCCAUGAACGGGGCGAGCAACCCACAGAGGGUGUCAGGCCCGUAGCUUUAGACGAGCCGAGACCGUGCAUUGGAUCCCUUCCCAAGAGUCGGGUUGCUUGAGCGUGCAGCCCUAAGCGGGAGGUAAACUCCUUCUAAGGCUAAAUAUCGCCACGAGACCGAUAGCGAACAAGUACCGCGAGGGAAAGUUGAAAAGAACUUUGAAGAGAGAGUUCAAGAGUGCGUGAAACCGUUCAGGGGGUUAAACGGGUGGGCCCUCGAAGGUCGAACGAGCCCCCGCUCCCGGCACUUGGUUGCAUGCCCUCUGCUGCGAGAGACCGCCUGAAUUGGCGCGCUCGAGCCGGCGGGGACCGCAUUAGCCGCGCCAAGGUCCGCUAGUGGGGGGCCAAGUAGGACUCCGCGACCGACUGGGUGUCUGUUAAACGGGGCGUUCGUUAGCGAGUCUCGGUGAGCCUCACGGCUUCCUUGGCGAGCGCGGCGUCUUUUCCCAACAGUACCGCCCGGUCGUGACCUGUCUCCUCUCGGGGUUUGGCGCGUAGUUUCGCGCUCGUGGGCGUCGCUCCUAACCGGGCUGGCGUUUGCGGGUACGGAACGAUCGUCCGACAUCCCGCGGAGGCCCAGAGCGGAGAGUAGAAGUCGGGUCCCACCCGACCCGUCUUGAAACACGGACCAAGGAGUCUAACAUGUGCGCGAGUCGUCGAGUCUGUUACGAAACUCGCGAGGCGCAAUGAAAGUGAAGCGGCCCCGAUGAGGGUGCAUCCGCGAGGGGUGAUCCCGUCUCGAACAGAGCGGGCGCAACCCCGGGGCGUCCGAAGCCGCGAGGUGCCUCACGGUAUCGAGUCGGCCGGACGAACCCAGAGCGCACACGUUGGGACCCGAAAGAUGGUGACCUAUGCCUGGCCAGGACGAAGCCAGGGGAAACCCUGGUGGAGGUCCGCAGCGAUUCUGACGUGCAAAUCGAUCGUCGGAGUUGGGUAUAGGGGCGAAAGACUAAUCGAACCAUCUAGUAGCUGGUUCCCCCCGAAGUUUCCCUCAGGAUAGCUGGUGCUCGCAAAGAGAACAAACGGAGUUUCAUCCGGUAAAGCGAAUGAUUAGAGGCCUUGGGGUCGAAACGACCUCAACCUAUUCUCAAACUUUCAAUGGGUGAGAAGCCCGGCCUGAUAUCUCUUGAUUGAGGCCGUCGGCACACUUAAAUGUAAUCUGAAUCUGAGCGCCCAGUGGGCCAUUUUUGGUAAGCAGAACUGGCGCUGUGGGAUGAACCAAACGCCCGGUUAAGGCGCCUAAACGACGCACAUUUCGGAUCCCACGAAAAGGAGUUGGUUGCUAAAGACAGCAGGACGGUGGCCAUGGAGGUCGGAAUCCGCUCAGGAGUGUGUAACAACUCACCUGCCGAAGCAACUAGCCCUUAAAAUGGGAGGCGCUAUAGCGUCGUGCCUAUACCGGGCCGUCGGUCGGCAGAGCGAAUAACGUCGGCCAGCUCGAAGAGAGCGGCGGCGCUGAGGCCCCGACGAGUAGGGGGGUCGCGACGGUGAGCGUUGAAGGGUUGUGGGCGCGAGCCUGCCCGGAGCCGCCGUCGGUGCAGAUCUUGGUGGUAGUAGCAAAUACUCCAGAGGGAUCCUGGAGGACUGACGCGGAGAAGGGUUUCAUGUGAACAGUGGUUGGACAUGAGUCAGUCGAUCCUAAGCCGCAGGCGAAAGCCGACCUAGUGACGGGCGUGAUUUAUCUGUGAAGUGCGCGUGAAGCCUUAAUAAAGCCGAACAAACACGAAACAAAAACGAUCGAGACGCCACCCAGGUUAAGGCGAAAGGGAAUCCGGUCCUGAUUCCGGAACCGGGCUGCGGCUACGUCCGCGAUAAACGACCUCAACCCUCGUUGUCACGGUCGCGGUAACGCGACACAAACCGGAGAAGCUGCCGAGAACCCCGGGAAGAGUUUUCUUUUCUGCUUGAGGGACCGAGACCCUGGAAUCCCGUCGCGGGGCGAGAGGGUUACGGAUUUAGCUGUCAAAGGCUAUCCCGAAGAGCGCCGCGUUUCUGCGGCGUCCGUGGUCGUUCUCGGCUGGCCCUUGAAAAUCCGGUGGGAGGGUUACGUUGUUGGACGUUCGCGCCCGCUCGUACCG